UACAUGUGGGGCAAGCGUUGUUCGGAAUUACUGGGCAUAAAGGGUGCGUAGGCGGUUUGUUAAGUCACUGGUGAAAGUUUGCGGCCCAACCGUAAAAUUGCCUGUGAUACUGGCGAACUCGAGUGCGUGAGGGGUUGGGGGAACGAGCAGUGUAGUGGUGAAAUGCGUAGAUAUUGCUCGGAAGGCCGGAGCCGAAGGGGCCCAACUGGUACGCAACUGACGCUGAGGCACGAAAGCGUGGGGAGCAAACAGG
rnacentral:rRNA from 1 species